rnacentral:lncRNA from 1 species
UUCUAUAGAAUCAGCACCCAUCUUUGAGUCAGAGUUUGAGAUGCAAAUCCUUUACUGUAUAGCCUUGAUCAAAUGACUUCACCUCAUUGAAUUAAUCUUCUUCUGCAUAAAAUGGGGUCACCAUCUGCUUAUCUAAAUUGUUACAAAUGGGACAGUAUAUGUGCCAUUCCAGAUACCUAAUCACAGCUCAAUCGAUGCUGGUGUCUUUUUCCUUUUUCCUUCUGCAGAAAACAUGCUUUACAUAGGAUCUCUGAACUUAAAGAAUGGGAAGAAGAAAAAUCAUGUUUCCAGCUUGGGCUGCUGUUUCAUCUGUUGGACUUGCUUGAAGCGUAUGGGUUUGUUUACCCUUCCUGCAGGCAUCCAACCUGGCCUUUUAUUCCUGCUCAAGUAGGACAUGCAGCCUGCUGGGGACCCGUGGCUCAAAUCCUCCAACUGCAGGACUGCCGGCCCUGGGACUCAUGAAUAAUGGAAGUGCAGUAACCACUCCUUACAGCCCAGACGACUUUCCAGGAGCAGGCUGUACCCCGAAAGUAAACAAGGAACAAGGGGCAAGGAGACAGAGAGAGAUGGGGAAAUGAUCCCUGAAUGGAAAGGAAUGCUAUGCACACUUUUUGGAUACAGGAAGUGAGAUUCAGAGGGGUUAAACAGCUUUCCUAAAGCCACACAGCGAGAGAGUCGAUCUGAACUGAAGAUUGUUUGACAUCAAAGCUCAUUUCUUUCCCUAAAUGUCAGCAUUCUUUCCUGACUUAUUAAUUUGAUUUCUGUCCUCCCCUCAUGGAAGUUAAUUAAAGGAAUGCGAGAACCUUUUAGAAAAUCUCCAGGGCAGCUUCUGUGUUGAUCAUUGUUU